GAUGAACGCUGGCGGCGUGCCUAACACAUGCAAGUCGAGCGAACAGACGGUGAGCUUGUUCCCUUGCCGUUAGCGGCUGACGGGCGAGUAACACGUGGAUCACCUACUUCUAUUUCUGGGAUAAUAACGGGAAACCGGUUACAAUAAUAGCGCAUAUAUUCUACCGCAGGGUUCAAUAGAGAAUGACAGCUUUCGCGUCUCUAUUAGCUGAUUUCGCGCCGCAUUAGCUAGUUGGUAAGGUAACGGCUUACCAAGGCGACGAUGCGUAGCCGACCUGAGAGGAUGAUCGGCCACACUGGAACUGAGACACGGUCCAGACUCCUACGGGAGGCAGCAGUAGGGAAUAUUGGGCAAUGGGCGAAAGCCUGACGCAGCCACACCGCGUGAGUGAAGAAGGUCUUCGGGUCGUAAAGCUCUUUUGUUGGGAAAGAAAAGCUGUAUAGGUAACUCUGCCCGUCUUGACGGUACCUAAUCAAUAAGCACCGGCUAACUUCGUG
rnacentral:rRNA from 1 species